UGCGUGCAAGCAGCUUGCUUGCACGAGCACAUCAGUCAACAACAUUUUACUAAAAAAAGAUUUUACUGCUAAGUGGUAGUCCCUGUUCUCCUGCAUUAUUGUUUAACUUUUGAAUCUUCUAGCUUGGAAGGAUGGAGGAGUGAACAAAGGGAAGGAGUACUGAAGUUACCCAGCCUGCUGACUAAGAAAUCUCCUGAAACAUGUCAAUGACUUAAUGUAUGGGGUCUACAACAGUUACCAGUGACCUAUUCUGCCACAUCCCAGUGAAAGGAGAGAGCAGAACCACCCCUCCUUAAACCCAUAGUCAUUGACAAUCUGACCCAUCGCACGACUCUUGAAGAGGGCCACUACGCUACCAGAUCGCCUUCUGUGCUCAGAGGUCCUUGAUGACAACCCCAUCGCACCACUCGUAUGAAUCACUAAUCAA